rnacentral:lncRNA from 1 species
AUGGCCGGAGACCGUGGUACGGGCCGCGUGAAAGGCACGGCACAAGUUGUUUCUGCGGUCUGCGCUGCCACCGCGUGGUCAAUCCGCGGCAGUGCCGCUGUCCCGGUUUGGUGCGGCUGGACGCAUGCGCGCAGGCACGCGGAAGUGGCGCGUCUCCGUCGUGGUCGCUUUGCGCAGCUAACCCGCCAGUCUCUAUUGUGGUUAUUCCUCCAGGCGACAGUGCGCAUGCGCCCGACAGCGAGUAAGCGGCACCCGUUUCUGCGAGGCGCUGAGGUGCGGGCUUGCAGUCGGGGCUUGGACCGCCGGCUCAGCGAUGUUCUCCCGCCGCUUCCAAUCCAGGCUGCCCCUCGCCUAUUUCCUCGGGCGCUGUUACGCCCGAGCCCGCCCUGGGACCACGGGCCGCUUCUGCUCCAGGCGGCCCCCGCGCGCGCCGCGGCACCCGAUUGGCUCGGCGUGGCACGUGACCGUCAGCCGCGUGCCCUAGCACCGCGCACGCGCGCUAGCGGAGCGGUCUUCGCCGCUGCCACGCGUGGAAGAGGCUUCGGAACCGCAGGCGCUCGAGGGCGGUGCGGGCAUCUGUCUCGCCCCGCUGCUGCGCUCUGCGCCGUCCUUCAUCCGUUCCGCGCUCUCUUUCGUCUCUGCCCACGUUCGCAGCCCCGGGAAUGUACCGGUUCGGCUCGCGGCUGCCCUCGAGCGCCUCGCGGCAUCCGAUUGGCUCAUUGCCGCGGUGGACUGACAGGCGUCGCCGUCCACUCCCAGCCCUGCCCCGGCCCCCAGCCGUUCAAAAGGGCUCUCGGCCGCGGUGGGAGCCGAGCAGCUCGGGGAUUGGUGGCGCGCGGUGCUGUCGUUGAGCGGCCGGGGCAGCGCAGCGUCCCUGGAGCGGCACGGAGCGGCUCCGGGAUCGCUCUAAGCGGCGUGCUGCCGACUUUCCUAGGAGCCGCUGAACGGGCUUUUCCACCGGUCCCGUCCCGGGCAACCGAGCCCCUUCGCGUCGCAGUGCCUCAGGGCUCCGGGCACCCCCGCCGUGCGCUGCAGGGAGACAGCAGCAGUUCCUACAACGGAGCGGGAAGCGAGCGGGAGAACGCGUCGGGCCAGAUUUGUAGGGCAGCCGAGAGCCGCGGAGCCGCUUCGGUGAUGACUUGUGGAAACAAACUUCACAGCUGGGGAAGGUUGUAAAGCAGGUACAGCAGUUGUUUAAUAGAGACUUUGGAGAAGUUUUCAGUAUCC